UUGUAUUGUCGCCUUAGAUAGAUUCUGAAGCAUUGAAUGGUAUUUGGCGUGGAAUGAGUUAUUUUUCCUACUCAACAAAGUGUCGAAACCAGGGGCGUAAAUGUGGAUGUGUGUGUGUGUGUGUGUGUGUGUGUGUGUGUGUGUGUGUGGGGGGGUGGUUCACCCCCCCCCCCCCAGAGAAAUGAUCCAGUCGGUCUCAAA